GCCAAAACAUCAGGAAGCUUGUUAAGGAUGGGUUUAUCAUCAGGAAGCCUACCAAUAUUCAUUCGAGGUCUCGAGCUCGUCGUAUGAAUGAGGCAAAGAGGAAGGGUCGUCACUCUGGAUACGCAUUUGAAGAAAGGUUGUUACAUUGAACCCACCAUUGUAACUGAUCUCCACAUCCAUGCAAAUAUGGAAAGAGGAAGUUUUUGGCUCUGUCUUGUGUGUUGAAACAUUUAGUUCCGAAGAUGAAGCCAUUGCAUUGGAAAAUGAUACAGAGUGCUGCUGUGUUUUCUAAAGAUAUUGAAAGGUGUGAGAGGAUAACGAAGAUAUGUCAGUGUCAAAAGUGCAGAAUCUAUGACUGCUAUUAGAGUGUUUUUUGCGUCUGUCAGCAUGGGAGACGAAAAGCCCUUUGCCUUAAUCUUCAGUCGCUAAUAGGAAGUAUUUCAACUAAGGAUGCCGACCACAUUAAUAAUAAGGCAGUUGCUUCAAAGUGGAACAAAAUACGCGUGCGCUGUUCGGAGAUCAGAUUACAACAUACAAAGAUGCCCUCCAGCACAAAGGGACUUAUGAAAUCACAGAUGCUCCAAUCCAAUCUGCAGACUAGCAGU